rnacentral:lncRNA from 10 species
AGUGCUUGGCUGUGCUCAAAGGCCUCUACCUGCUCAGGAGCAAACCGGACAGGGCGCAGCAUGCCGCCACCAAGUGCACCAGCCCGUCCACGGAGCUCAGCAUCACCUCCAGGGGCGCGACGCUGCUGGUGGCCAAGACCAAGGCCUCUCCAGGGAAGUGCUGUACCUGAACACCUAUAGGAAGAAGGAAGACAGAGAAAAACCAUGAUUCGAGGCAUGACCCAGCUCACCUGACUCCUCUGACACCAGCCUUGUCCCCAUGAGCAGCCCAGCCAGGCAGACUAGAGCCAAGCCAUGCUCUGAAACUUGUUAAUGGGGCCACCGGAGCGAGUCACUUAACCUCUCCAGGCCUCCAUGUCUUCCUCUGUAAAACGGCAAGAAUAAAAGUAACCAUUCA